rnacentral:tRNA from 1 species
GAUUUCAUGGUGUAAUGGUCAGCACAUUCGACACUUAUUCGAGAGGUCCGAGGUUCGAAUCCCGGCUAGGACA